UGAGGAAACUAAGGCUGUGUGAGCUA
rnacentral:piRNA from 1 species